CUGGCCGGGGGGCUGCUGGAGCAGGCUUCCUUAUUCCUGUAAUUAAUUUGUUGUUGUGGUUGUUGUUGUUGUUGUUGUUAUCGUCACCGUCGCCGUUAUUUAGGUUCCACUCGUCGGAGGUUCACCGAAGAAGGAGUCCGGAGGGUGAGGAUUAAGCAGGAAGCCCCCAGCCCGGCAUCACCGGGGAGUUCCGUCCAUCCAGGGAACGGGAGGCGGUGGGAGUUGAGCGGCCCCUCGGGACCGGGGCUGAGCCGCCGCCCUCCCCACCGGCCUGGGCGUGAGAGGGGCUGGGUGCUGCCCGUGAGCCGCGCUCGCCUGCUGCUGGGGGUUUGUGGGACCCCCGGCUUUUGUGUGUAAAUCAGUUCCCACCCAUCCUAACUGCAGAGAAAAUCUUGGAGACCAGAGCUCGAGGACAAAACCCCAAAGGGCACCGUAAGGAGAGGAACGAAGGACAAACAUCCUGCCUGGCACCUGCUGUGCUGAUGGAAAACAUGAACACCAGUUUGCCAUCAGCUGCUGAUCACCAGCUCUGCUGGAGGCUGCCACCUUCGGCAGGCUGUUGGCUAAACCCUUCAUGACAGCGUUCCUUUGCCCUGUCCGCUCCGAGGGAGCUGGUGUGCCACCAUUUCAGCCCUUCGAACCAGCCAGCCUCAGCUUCAUGGUGCUAAACCACAGACCGUGGUCCUGAGUUACUCAGCUGAGCUCUGUGGUGCAGCACAGGAAGGAGGAACACAAUUGUCCUCUUCCUGGACAUGGCAGCACACGAGCUGGUGUCACCUGUUUGCAUCAUCACUCCCAACCUGCUGGUGUCUCCAGCAGAGCAGUGGACGGAAAUUUCGGGUCUCUCCCAAACACUCUCCUGUUAAGUGACAUUCACGGUGAUGAAAACAGGUUGCAAGCACUUUUCUUACUUGUGCCUGGAGGUGAGACCUCCUCACUCAGCUGUCUGAGGCUUGUGGCACCUCUAAUUACCAAGCUGGAAGGAAGAAAAAUGAAUAGAUGAUGCUUAGGAUAAGAGUGCUUAGUACUUAAAAUAUGUUUACCUAAAAUACAGCACUGCUGCUUUAAUUUCCUAAAGUGCUAUCUAUUAUGUGGUGAGGAAAGCAGAAAUGAAGAAACCAGCCCUUACUUCCUCAUGUGGAAGCUAUCCCAGCUUGCCAGAUCAUUAACAAAUGUUUUAAGCAGCGAAGGGAAAAAAUUGUGCCAUUUGCUCAUAAGGCAAAACCAUUUGGACUACUACAAAUUUCAGAGUAAUGUGAAAGGUUUAAGCAAAAUAAGGGACAGCAAAAAGAGAAAACAACUGUAAAUAUUGAUAAGAGUUAAGUAAUAUGGUAGCAAUUAAUACACAUUUCUUAUAUGUUCCAUAACUCUGCGAGACAGGCCUGCAAAAAGAACUACAAUUCAUAGAAAAUAAGCUAAAGCAGUUAAGCCAACAUGAAUCCCUACUGCAGGAAAAUAAUUAAAAUCAAGGAAUUAACAGCACACAAACUCAUAUUUUAGCAGGAAUCAAUUGCUACCAUUUCAAAAGGAGUAAUUUAAAAUCAGAUAAACCUUUAGAACAGAUGUUCAACUACACAGCAAACCCUGCCAAAGGACAUGCGUUAAGGAGGCAUUUAGUGUUCUCUUAUGUGUUUUAAAAUGGCUUCUCCUAAAAGAAUGGUGCAACCAGGGUCUCAGGCUUCUAAGUACUAUUUACCACAUUUGCUCUUACAGAAAAUGUUGUGAUAAAAGCUGAGAGAUUUCCUGGUAAAAGAGAGGUAGCAUUAUUAGCAGCCAUGAGGCUUUUUGCAUUCCCUAAGCUUGGACCAGAUAUGUUUAGGGUUAUCAACUACACACAGCAUCAACACAGCACUUAAAUUUCCCUGCUUCUUGUUUCACAACAGCCCACUUUGACCUCAUCCUGUAAUCAGCACUCACACAUUUUGUAGAAGCAUUUCCAUCUCAAGAUGAUUACUGAAAAUGACAUUAAAAAAAAGAAUGUGAAAUUCACUGGUAAGCAAUCCAUGGUAUUGCUUUUCAAUUCUGACUAUGAUUGCAUGGGAAUGUAUUUCUCAGCAGUCAUUAGAUCAGGGAUUUUGGGUUGGAGCUAUAUUUGAUAUGGAGUGUGGUAAGUUGGUGAAGCUGCUUUGAUCGACAGUUGUCAUCAUUUGAGCAGAAAAUUAAUAUGAACAUAUUUGUUUGCAGACACCCAGAGUCAAGUAACUGGAGGAAUCUGUGGAUUCAACUAACCUACACAAUGUAAAACAGAAACCCAUUCAAAUACUGUUCAUAAUUUUUUCUAAUGCACCUUUAAUAUUACCUUCAACUUUCAAACCUAAAGCUAGCAGAUUUUCCAGUUAGUCCAAGGUAAAGUAUUCAAUUUUUUGGAUGUACCUAGUUCAAAUAUGCCAGAUCUCUCCAAUUUCCUACUUAUGUGUUAGAUUUCCCAUGACAAUAGCUUGUCAGAAAAUGUGAAUGAGUCAUAACUCCUAAGCCCUGUGAAACAAUUUACAGGGAUUUAGAAAUAGGCAGGGAUUAUCACAGUUCACACACAAAAUUAAUACCACCUUUUUCAAAUUCUAGCAGCAUUCAUUCAAGCAAUAUUCUUGCUUUGCUUUGAAAAUUAUGUAGCUCUUUAUCCCGGUUUUAGCAGUCAUGUUUUUUGUACAAAAAUUCCAGCAAGGAUAUUAAUAGCCUCCUUAAUUAUUAAAAACAACAAGUAAGAUGCUCCCUAUGCCAUAGGAAAUUCUAGCUUCUCUAGAUUUCAAUUUACUAUGUUUAUGAAGAUGGUCAAACACUGAAUGAAAAACUCAGUGGAUCUAUACAAUAUGAACAGAAAUUAUUCAGAAGUUAGAUUAUUAGACCUAAUUUUCUUUUUUAUGCAGGAAAACCAAGAAGCUGUACUUCAAAAAGGCAUGCAUUAGGCCCAUAAUGGGAGAAGUACUGAAAUGGAAGCAAAUAGAUGGAAGUGAUUACUUUAAUUUCCAAAUAUUAAAUACAAAUAUUUAAAUGUAAUUUCUGCAGGAUGCCCAGCAAGCAAAACCCAUUAGAACUUUGAGUCUCUCAGACAGCACUUUUAGAGAUCUCUGCUGUAUAGUUUUUCUUGUGUCUCAGCAGACUUUCAUCUGAUGUUCCUAAUGAGAUUAAAUGCAUGAAAAUACACUUACUCAGUUUUUCUGGACUACAGCAAUGGCUGUGUUUCCUAUAAUGAUGUUGAAUGUCCUUUUCAGCUACUAAUACCAAGUCUUUGACAGUAAGGCAAGGAAUGUCCCUUCAUCUGGGUGAAAUGCUGACCUCACCCAGUGGUGGAGGUGGAGUUUUGUCAUUGAUUUCAGUAGGUCCAAGAUUUCCCUGCAUCUGGUAUAAAAUCACAGCCAUUCUUCAUGACAAGUAAAUAUAUAGUAAUGGCACAAAAGAUUCUAAAUUCAGAAUGAAAUUGGAAUUAACUGUGACAAAACCAUGUUGCACAAAAUCUUUACAUUCAGUAAGAUUUCAGAAGAAUUGCUUUGAUCUUGUGUUUCAUAAAGGCAUCAAGAGAGGUUUAAUACCUUUUGUAUUUAUAAGGUAUUUAUCUAAACUUUUUAUGUUCAUGUGCUACACUGAAAAUCUUAGGCCAUUUGUCAAUCUUUUAAUCAGUAAAUUAUAUGGUGAUAAAAACCCCCUCCCAUGUACAAGUUGUCAUCCUGCCUUCCUUAUAGAUUGUUGUUGCAUUUUAACAAUUUAACUCAAAUAAACAGUCUCUGAAAAGGAAAAGUUCAGAUUAUCAGUGAGAAAAAAUGGUUUCAGCUUCCAAAGGGUAUUCAGAGCAUAGGAGUUGAAAAGGGUUUUGUUUUAUGGGUUUUGUUUUGUUUUAAUGUGGAUCUCCAGAAAGUUGCAGAACCGCAUCUCUUUCAAAAGUUUCUGAUGAACACUAGGAUCCAGGUUCUCACAUGUAAAACCUCUAUGUUUAUGUGGGGUUUUGUUUGGUUGUUUCAGGUUUUUGGGUUUUUUUUAAUCUAGGAAAAGUAUAAUUUGAUCAAAUUCUUGCCCCACAUUAUGCUAGCAUACUGCUUUGGACUUCAGUGAGGAAGAAGCUUUAUCUUACCCAGAUUAGGUUGAUAUAAAGGGCAUUCUACCUCCAAAAUUGUUGCUAAAGUAUUGAAAUAAUUACCUUUUUUUUCUUGCCUUCUUUCUUAAAUUGCUGGAUUUUGCUCCUGCCCUGCCACCUAGCAGCCUGCCUUUGGAAAACAUAACUCAAUGUCUUCUUAAAAUUCUGUAAGGAAGCUUAUUCAAACAGAAGAUGUUUACCUCUUGUCUAAGGACACUAAGAAAUUCCAUACCCUCCAAAAUUAACCACUGGAAAGCAUAUAAAACAUGACAAAACAGCACAUCUCUAGAUCACCUUUUAGAGUUGUUAGCACUUGAACAUUACAUGUCUGAGUCAUUAGAUUUUUCCCCCCUUCCUGUUUCCCCCCUCUACACCAUUAGAUUUUUUUCCUCGUUGGAAGUGCAACAUGAAAAUGGAAAACAACAUGAACUUGUACCCACAUUAAA